rnacentral:rRNA from 1 species
UACGUAGGUGGCAAGCGUUGUCCGGAUUUAUUGGGUUUAAAGGGUGUGUAGGCGGGCUAUUAAGUCAGUGGUGAAAUCUCCGGGCUCAACCUGGAAACUGCCAUUGAUACUAUUAGUCUUGAAUUCUGUUGAGGUAGGCGGAAUAAGUCAUGUAGCGGUGAAAUGCAUAGAUAUGACUUAGGACACCAAUUGCGAAGGCAGCUUACUAAGCAGAUAUUGACGCUGAGGCACGAAAGCGUGGGGAUCAAACAGG